rnacentral:lncRNA from 1 species
CCUUCUAGAGCCUUUCUACAUAUUUUGUAGAAAGAUGUAGAAUUAGUGUACACCCAUUAUACGUCCUUUGUACACCCUUUGUACAUAUUUUCUACAACCUUUGUCCACCUUUUCUACAUUUCUAAACUUCUAUGUAAACCCUUUGUGCAACUUUUGUACACCCUUUGUACACCGUUCUUCACUCUUUGUAAAUACUUUGUACACCUAAUAGUUCUACACCCUUUCUACAUCCUCUCUGCACCCUUUCUCUGCC